rnacentral:rRNA from 1 species
AUGUAUUCAUAUACGCUGCUCCACGAUGAACCCCAUGGGCCAUGGCUAUUGUCCCUUCCUCAUCUGAUCGGUCAAAAAGGAAAACUGUCUGCCCCCAAGAAACAAUACUCAUCAGCCUGCGCCUGUGGAUCUGUUCGUGGUGGCGUGAUGGAUGUAUGUGUGGUGUUCAUCGCUGGCCUGAUGGAUGUGUGCAUGGUGUGUUAUCAAUGCAUCCAUGUUCAUGAUCGAUGUAAUAGCUGCAAGCUGCUGUGGUCAACUACCUCCGCCUCUCCAUCCAGUGUUGCAAGGGACCGACCUGAGAGCACAAGACGCAUAAUUGCCUUUCUCCCCCUCCCUGUUAUCUCUCUUAGUAAUUGA